rnacentral:rRNA from 1 species
GAUGAACGCUGGCGGCGUGCCUAAUACAUGCAAGUCGAGCGAACGGACGAGAAGCUUGCUUCUCUGAUGUUAGCGGCGGACGGGUGAGUAACACGUGGAUAACCUACCUAUAAGACUGGGAUAACUUCGGGAAACCGGAGCCAAUACCGGAUAAUAUUUUGAACCGCAUGGUUCAAAAGUGAAAGACGGUCUUGCUGUCACUUAUAGAUGGAUCCGCGCUGCAUUAGCUAGUUGGUAAGGUAACGGCUUACCAAGGCAACGAUGCAUAGCCGACCUGAGAGGGUGAUCGGCCACACUGGAACUGAGACACGGUCCAGACUCCUACGGGAGGCAGCAGUAGGGAAUCUUCCGCAAUGGGCGAAAGCCUGACGGAGCAACGCCGCGUGAGUGAUGAAGGUCUUCGGAUCGUAAAACUCUGUUAUUAGGGAAGAACAUAUGUGUGAGUAACUGUGCACAUCUUGACGGUACCUAAUCAGAAAGCCACGGCUAACUACGUG